rnacentral:rRNA from 1 species
AACGAACGCUGGCGGCAUGCCUAACACAUGCAAGUCGAACGAGACCUUCGGGUCUAGUGGCGCACGGGUGCGUAACGCGUGGGAACCUGCCCUUAGGUUCGGAAUAACUCCCCGAAAGGGGUGCUAAUACCGGAUAAUGUCCUCGGACCAAAGAUUUAUCGCCUUUGGAUGGGCCCGCGUUGGAUUAGCUAGUUGGUAGGGUAAAAGCCUACCAAGGCGACGAUCCAUAGCUGGUCUGCGAGGAUGAUCAGCCACACUGGUACUGAGACACGGCCCAGACUCCUACGGGAGGCAGCAGUGGGGAAUAUUGGACAAUGGGCGAAAGCCUGAUCCAGCAAUGCCGCGUGAGUGAUGAAGGCCUUAGGGUUGUAAAGCUCUUUUACCCGGGAUGAUAAUGACAGUACCGGGAGAAUAAGCUCCGGCUAACUCCGUG